GUUGGCAUUACAGUACUCAUAUAAGAGCUAGUCACUGAUUGGCUGAGAGGACACACUCUGUACACAGGAAAACCACACUUCCUGUUGUUGUUGCCAAGGUGCUGUCAUUCAGCCUGAGGAAGAGAGUCCAAAUGUUAUUAUUGAUGGUAUAGGUCUCACACUCUGCUGGUAUUGAUGGAUGGUAUAGGUCUCACACUCUGCUGGUAUUGAUGGAUGGUAUAGGUCUCACACUCUGCUGGUAUUGAUGGGUGGUAUAGGUCUCACUCUGCUGGUAUUGAUGGAUGGUAUAGGUCUCACUCUGCUGGUAUUGAUGGAUGGUAUAGGUCUCACUCUGCUGGUAUUGAUGGAUGGUAUAGGUCUCUUCUUCUUCUUCUUUGGUCUCCUCUGUCCCUGACGAGGCGUUAAACAGGUCUCCUUCCUC
rnacentral:lncRNA from 1 species